rnacentral:rRNA from 1 species
UGCAAGUCGAGCGGGGGAAGGUAGCUUGCUACUGGACCUAGCGGCGGACGGGUGAGUAAUACUUAGGAAUCUGCCUAUUAGUGGGGGACAACGUUCCGAAAGGAGCGCUAAUACCGCAUACGCCCUACGGGGGAAAGCAGGGGAUCUUCGGACCUUGCGCUAAUAGAUGAGCCUAAGUCGGAUUAGCUAGUUGGUGGGGUAAAGGCCUACCAAGGCGACGAUCUGUAGCGGGUUUGAGAGGAUGAUCCGCCACACUGGGACUGAGACACGGCCCAGACUCCUACAGGAGGCAGCAGUGGGGAAUAUUGGACAAUGGGCGCAAGCCUGAUCCAGCCAUGCCGCGUGUGUGAAGAAGGCCUUAUGGUUGUAAAGCACUUUAAGCGAGGAGGAGGCUUACCUAGCUAAUACCUAGGAUAAGUGGACGUUACUCGCAGAAUAAGCACCGGCUAACUCUGUGCCAGCAGCCGCGGUAAUACAGAGGGUGCAAGCGUUAAUCGGAAUUACUGGGCGUAAAGCGCGCGUAGGUGGCCAUUUAAGUCAAAUGUGAAAUCCCCGAGCUUAACUUGGGAAUUGCAUUCGAUACUGGAUGGCUAGAGUAUAGGAGAGGAAGGUAGAAUUCCAGGUGUAGCGGUGAAAUGCGUAGAGAUCUGGAGGAAUACCGAUGGCGAAGG